rnacentral:tRNA from 1 species
GUUAAAAUCCAAAGAAAAACUAUAUUUUGAAAAUAUAGAUAAAGGGGUUAAAUUCCCCUUUUUAACU